rnacentral:rRNA from 1 species
AACGUAGGAGGCGAGCGUUAUCCGGAUUUACUGGGCGUAAAGCGUGUGUAGGCGGUUUGAUAUGUUGGAUGUGAAAGCUCCUGGCUCAACUGGGAGAGGUCGUUCAAAACCAUCAGACUAGAGAGUGGUAGAGGGAGGUGGAAUUCCGCGUGUAGUGGUGAAAUGCGUAGAUAUGCGGAGGAACACCAGUGGCGAAAGCGGCCUCCUGGCCCAUUUCUGACGCUCAGACACGAAAGCUAAGGUAGCAAACGGGAUUAGAGACCCCGGUAGUCUUAGCUGUAAACGAUGUGAACUUAGUGUCGGUGGGGUUAAAUCCAUCGGUACUGAAGCAAACGCGAUAAGUUCACCGCCUGAGGACUACGGCCGCAAGGUUA